rnacentral:misc_RNA from 1 species
GAUGAAGAACGUAGCGAAAUGCGAUAAGUAAUGUGAAUUGCAGAAUUCAGUGAAUCAUCGAAUCUUUGAACGCACCUUGCGCCCUUUGGCUAUUCCGAAGGGCAUGCCUGUUUGAGUAUCGUGAACACCUCAACUCUCAUGGUUUGCCAUGAUGAGCUUGGACUUGGGGGUUUUGCUGGCCUUCGGUCGGCUCCUCUCAAACGGAUCAGCUUUCCAGUGUUUGGUGGCGUCACGGGUGUGAUAACUAUCUACGCCUGUGGUUUUCUGCCAGAUAACCUUCAGCGAUGGAGGUUCGCUGGGGCUCAUAAAUGUCUCUCUUCAGUGGAGACAGCUUUUUGGACGUUUGAUCUCAAAUCAGGUAGGACUACCCGCUGAACUUAAGCAUAUCAAUAAGCGGAGGA